rnacentral:misc_RNA from 1 species
GAUUACGAUAAGCCCCAAAAGGCUAGCAAUCUUUACACAUCUUCAUUCUUCAGUCAACGACAAUUGUAUGUUAUUCGUUCAGUUAACCACAAUGAAAGAAACAGAAAUUGAAAUUUCAUCACUUCAAGUAACUCUAGAAUUUUCAACGGCAUUCCAGAAUUAAUUAAUGCGACCUGUGAAUACAAAUUCUCAAAACGCAAAUCUCACGGUGAAUUUAACCUAACUCUCAAGACAAACUAUCCGGCUAGGGCGCGACACGAAGUUGACAAGAUAUAAAAAAUUUUGUGCUGAAGUGCAGCGGGUUCUAACGAUUGGGUAUGUUUCACUACUUUAACCAGCCAGAAGUUUAUGAAAAUUGGGUCACAAAAACGAAACGUGAAAUCUACCCCAUGGUCAACAAAGAAGAGGAUGAGGCGUUGAGACGAAAAAUUAGGGAAAUACGUGAAAAACAGGA